AGGACGAACGCUGGCGGCGUGCUUAACACAUGCAAGUCGAGCGGUAAGGCUCCUUCGGGAGUACACGAGCGGCGAACGGGUGAGUAACACGUGAGUAAUCUGCCCUUCACUUCGGGAUAACCACCGGAAACGGUGGCUAAUACCGGAUACGACCAGCCUUCGCAUGAGGUGCUGGUGGAAAGUCUUUUCGGUGAAGGAUGUGCUCGCGGCCUAUCAGCUUGUUGGUGAGGUAAUGGCUCACCAAGGCUUCGACGGGUA
rnacentral:rRNA from 1 species